AACGCUAGCUACAGGCUUAACACAUGCAAGUCGCGGGGCAGCAUGAAUUUAGCUUGCUAAAUUUGAUGGCGACCGGCGCACGGGUGAGUAACGCGUAUCCAACCUUCCCCUGUCCACGGGAUAGCCCGUCGAAAGGCGGAUUAAUACCGUAUGAGGUCACACGAUGGCAUCAGACUGUGACGAAAGGUUUUGCGGACAGGGAUGGGGAUGCGUCCGAUUAGGUAGUCGGCGGGGUAACGGCCCACCGAGCCGACGAUCGGUAGGGGUUCUGAGAGGAAGGUCCCCCACACUGGUACUGAGACACGGACCAGACUCCUACGGGAGGCAGCAGUGAGGAAUAUUGGUCAAUGGGCGGAAGCCUGAACCAGCCAAGUCGCGUGAGGGAAGACGGUCCUAUGGAUUGUAAACCUCUUUUGCCGGGGAGCAAGCCGGGUCUGCGGACCCGAGUUGAGAGUACCCGGAGAAAAAGCAUCGGCUAAUUCCGUGCCAGCAGCCGCGGUAAUACGGAAGGUCCGGGCGUUAUCCGGAUUUAUUGGGUUUAAAGGGAGCGCAGGCCGUAUGGUAAGCGUGUUGUGAAAUGCCGUGGCUCAACCAUGGCACUGCAGCGCGAACUGCCGUACUUGAGUACGCUGGAGGUAGGCGGAAUUCGUGGUGUAGCGGUGAAAUGCUUAGAUAUCACGAAGAACUCCGAUUG
rnacentral:rRNA from 1 species